CAGUAACUACGAGUCGUUGGAAGGACGGUCCAAACCAAACGUCUAUAAGGAGCUACAAACCGCUUCAUCUGGUAGCAGCGGUUUAUACACUAAUACCACAAUAGCAAAGGGCACUGCUUAACAUGACGUAUAAAACGUCAUUGAGAAGAUUUACUAUGCUUGCUGGGAAUGUACACAGGCACAAAC